rnacentral:lncRNA from 12 species
UAUGGGUGUGUACAGGUGUGUACAGGUGUGAUACAGGUUGAUACAGGUUUGUAUGGGUGUGAUACAGGUGUGUGCAGGUGUGUACAGGUGUGAUACAGGAAUUCCCGGGUGUGUUCAGGUGUGACAGGUGCACGAGGGUAUCGCUGGUGUCACCCAGGUGUGUUACCUGCAGGAGGAGCUGGGGCAGCCAUGGCAGAGCUGAGCCGGGCUGUGGCUGUAGCUCAGGUGUCUCUGGGUCUGUCCAGGUGUGCCCAGGUGUAUCACAGGUGUAUCCCAGGUGUGCCCAGGUGUGCCCAGGUGUAUCACAGGUGUAUCCCAGGUGUGCCCAGGUGUAUCACAGGUGUAUCCCAGGUGUGCCCAGGUGUAUCACAGGUGUAUCCCAGGUGUGCCCAGGUGUAUCACAGGUGUAUCCCAGGUGUGCCCAGGUGUAUCACAGGUGUAUCCCAGGUGUGCCCAGGUGUAUCCCAGGUGUGCCCAGGUGUAUCACAGGUGUAUCCCAGGUGUGCCCAGGUGUAUCCCAGGUGUGCCCAGGUGUAUCACAGGUGUAUCCCAGGUGUGCCCAGGUGUAUCCCAGGUGUGCCCAGGUGUAUCACAGGUGUAUCCCAGGUGUGCCCAGGUGUAUCCCAGGUGUGCCCAGGUGUAUCACAGGUGUAUCCCAGGUGUGCCCAGGUGUAUCCCAGGUGUGCCCAGGUGUAUCACAGGUGUAUCCCAGGUGUGCCCAGGUGUAUCCCAGGUGUGCCCAGGUGUAUCACAGGUGUAUCCCAGGUGUGCCCAGGUGUAUCCCAGGUGUGCCCAGGUGUAUCACAGGUGUAUCCCAGGUGUGCCCAGGUGUAUCCCAGGUGUGCCCAGGUGUAUCACAGGUGUAUCCCAGGUGUGCCCAGGUGUAUCCCAGGUGUGCCCAGGUGUAUCACAGGUGUAUCCCAGGUGUGCCCAGGUGUAUCCCAGGUGUGCCCAGGUGUAUCACAGGUGUAUCCCAGGUGUGCCCAGGUGUAUCCCAGGUGUGCCCAGGUGUAUCACAGGUGUAUCCCAGGUGUGCCCAGGUGUAUCCCAGGUGUGCCCAGGUGUAUCACAGGUGUAUCCCAGGUGUGCCCAGGUGUAUCCCAGGUGUGCCCAGGUGUAUCACAGGUGUAUCCCAGGUGUGCCCAGGUGUAUCCCAGGUGUGCCCAGGUGUAUCACAGGUGUAUCCCAGGUGUGCCCAGGUGUAUCCCAGGUGUGCCCAGGUGUAUCACAGGUGUAUCCCAGGUGUGCCCAGGUGUAUCCCAGGUGUGCCCAGGUGUAUCACAGGUGUAUCCCAGGUGUGCCCAGGUGUAUCCCAGGUGUGCCCAGGUGUAUCACAGGUGUAUCCCAGGUGUGCCCAGGUGUAUCCCAGGUGUGCCCAGGUGUAUCACAGGUGUAUCCCAGGUGUGCCCAGGUGUAUCCCAGGUGUGCCCAGGUGUAUCACAGGUGUAUCCCAGGUGUGCCCAGGUGUAUCCCAGGUGUGCCCAGGUGUAUCACAGGUGUAUCCCAGGUGUGCCCAGGUGUAUCCCAGGUGUGCCCAGGUGUAUCACAGGUGUAUCCCAGGUGUGCCCAGGUGUAUCCCAGGUGUGCCCAGGUGUAUCACAGGUGUAUCCCAGGUGUGCCCAGGUGUAUCCCAGGUGUGCCCAGGUGUAUCACAGGUGUAUCCCAGGUGUGCCCAGGUGUAUCCCAGGUGUGCCCAGGUGUAUCACAGGUGUAUCCCAGGUGUGCCCAGGUGUAUCCCAGGUGUGCCCAGGUGUAUCACAGGUGUAUCCCAGGUGUGCCCAGGUGUAUCCCAGGUGUGCCCAGGUGUAUCACAGGUGUAUCCCAGGUGUGCCCAGGUGUAUCCCAGGUGUGCCCAGGUGUAUCACAGGUGUAUCCCAGGUGUGCCCAGGUGUAUCCCAGGUGUGCCCAGGUGUAUCACAGGUGUAUCCCAGGUGUGCCCAGGUGUAUCCCAGGUGUGCCCAGGUGUAUCACAGGUGUAUCCCAGGUGUGCCCAGGUGUAUCCCAGGUGUGCCCAGGUGUAUCACAGGUGUAUCCCAGGUGUGCCCAGGUGUAUCCCAGGUGUGCCCAGGUGUAUCACAGGUGUAUCCCAGGUGUGCCCAGGUGUAUCCCAGGUGUGCCCAGGUGUAUCACAGGUGUAUCCCAGGUGUGCCCAGGUGUAUCCCAGGUGUGCCCAGGUGUAUCACAGGUGUAUCCCAGGUGUGCCCAGGUGUAUCCCAGGUGUGCCCAGGUGUAUCACAGGUGUAUCCCAGGUGUGCCCAGGUGUAUCCCAGGUGUGCCCAGGUGUAUCACAGGUGUAUCCCAGGUGUGCCCAGGUGUAUCCCAGGUGUGCCCAGGUGUAUCACAGGUGUAUCCCAGGUGUGCCCAGGUGUAUCCCAGGUGUGCCCAGGUGUAUCACAGGUGUAUCCCAGGUGUGCCCAGGUGUAUCCCAGGUGUGCCCAGGUGUAUCACAGGUGUAUCCCAGGUGUGCCCAGGUGUAUCCCAGGUGUGCCCAGGUGUAUCACAGGUGUAUCCCAGGUGUGCCCAGGUGUAUCCCAGGUGUGCCCAGGUGUAUCACAGGUGUAUCCCAGGUGUGCCCAGGUGUAUCCCAGGUGUGCCCAGGUGUAUCACAGGUGUAUCCCAGGUGUGCCCAGGUGUAUCCCAGGUGUGCCCAGGUGUAUCACAGGUGUAUCCCAGGUGUGCCCAGGUGUAUCCCAGGUGUGCCCAGGUGUAUCACAGGUGUAUCCCAGGUGUGCCCAGGUGUAUCCCAGGUGUGCCCAGGUGUAUCACAGGUGUAUCCCAGGUGUGCCCAGGUGUAUCCCAGGUGUGCCCAGGUGUAUCACAGGUGUAUCCCAGGUGUGCCCAGGUGUAUCCCAGGUGUGCCCAGGUGUAUCACAGGUGUAUCCCAGGUGUGCCCAGGUGUAUCCCAGGUGUGCCCAGGUGUAUCACAGGUGUAUCCCAGGUGUGCCCAGGUGUAUCCCAGGUGUGCCCAGGUGUAUCACAGGUGUAUCCCAGGUGUGCCCAGGUGUAUCCCAGGUGUGCCCAGGUGUAUCACAGGUGUAUCCCAGGUGUGCCCAGGUGUAUCCCAGGUGUGCCCAGGUGUAUCACAGGUGUAUCCCAGGUGUGCCCAGGUGUAUCCCAGGUGUGCCCAGGUGUAUCACAGGUGUAUCCCAGGUGUGCCCAGGUGUAUCCCAGGUGUGCCCAGGUGUAUCACAGGUGUAUCCCAGGUGUGCCCAGGUGUAUCCCAGGUGUGCCCAGGUGUAUCACAGGUGUAUCCCAGGUGUGCCCAGGUGUAUCCCAGGUGUGCCCAGGUGUAUCACAGGUGUAUCCCAGGUGUGCCCAGGUGUAUCCCAGGUGUGCCCAGGUGUAUCACAGGUGUAUCCCAGGUGUGCCCAGGUGUAUCCCAGGUGUGCCCAGGUGUAUCACAGGUGUAUCCCAGGUGUGCCCAGGUGUAUCCCAGGUGUGCCCAGGUGUAUCACAGGUGUAUCCCAGGUGUGCCCAGGUGUAUCCCAGGUGUGCCCAGGUGUAUCACAGGUGUAUCCCAGGUGUGCCCAGGUGUAUCCCAGGUGUGCCCAGGUGUAUCACAGGUGUAUCCCAGGUGUGCCCAGGUGUAUCCCAGGUGUGCCCAGGUGUAUCACAGGUGUAUCCCAGGUGUGCCCACCCCGCCCCCCAACCGCGGCAGCUGGGCCACGCCCAACGAGCUUCCGGUGAGUGGGGGCGGGGCCGGGGACAGGUGUGACACGGGUGUGAU